rnacentral:rRNA from 1 species
GAUGAACGCUGGCGGCGUGCUUAACACAUGCAAGUCGAACGGAAAGGCCCAAGCUUGCUUGGGUACUCGAGUGGCGAACGGGUGAGUAACACGUGGGUGAUCUGCCCUGCACUUCGGGAUAAGCCUGGGAAACUGGGUCUAAUACCGGAUAGGACCACAUUUUGGAUGGUGUGGUGGAAAGUUUUUCGGUGUGGGAUGAGCUCGCGGCCUAUCAGCUUGUUGGUGGGGUAAUGGCCUACCAAGGCGUCGACGGGUAGCCGGCCUGAGAGGGUGUACGGCCACAUUGGGACUGGGAUACGGCCCAGACUCCUACGGGAGGCAGCAGGGGGGAAUAUUGCACAAUGGGCGCAAGCCUGAUGCAGCGACGCCGCGUGGGGGAUGACGGCCUUCGGGUUGUAAACUCCUUUCGCUAGGGACGAAGCGUGUUUGUGACGGUACCUGGAGAAGAAGCACCGGCUAACUACGUG